rnacentral:lncRNA from 1 species
GGGGGGGGGGGGGGGGGGGGGGGGGGGGGGGGGGGGGGGGGGGGGGGGGGGGGGGGGGGGGGGGGGGGGGGGGGGGGGGGGGUGCGGCAGCGGGGGGCGCCCCUGGAGCAGGUACUGGUUACACUGGUUUAUACUGGUUUAUACUGGGAGGGGUGAAAACGGGGGGAUGCGGCCAAAAAAUGGGGAGAGAAAGGGUUGGGAAAGGGUUAAACGGGGAUUUGGGGUUACUGGUUUGGACUGGGAGAGACUGGGGAGGGUUUGGGGGUUACUGGUUUAUACUGGGAAGAGGUUUGGGGGUUACUGGUUUGUACUGGGAUGGAUAGGGAAGGGAUAACUGGGAGUCCAUACUGGUUCAUAUUGGUCCGUACUGGUUUAUACCAGUUUAUACUGGUUUAUACCAAUCCAUACUUGUCCAUACUGGUUUAUACGGGUUCCAUACCAGUCUGUACUGGUCCAUACUGGUCCGUACUGGUUUAUACUGGUCCGUACUGGUCCGCCCUGCUCAGGUGCUCCCGCUCCUGCUGGGGGCGCUGCCGCUCUCGGAGGAUCUCGAGGAGGAGGAGCCGGUUCUGCGCUUCCUGCUGGGGGCGGGGCCUGAGCGGAGGUUUCGCGGUCACCUGCGGUGUUGCGGUGCCUCCCCCGGGCUGGGCACGGCGGUGAGGGGAGUGGCGAGCGCCGGAGGGCAGGUGAGCAGCGGCGAUUUGAGAAACGUUUCAUUCCAAAAAUCAGUUUGGAGUUUGGGAGCGGCUUUUCAAAGGGCUUUCGGAUGAAUUUUGAGGCAAUUUAGGGGUUUUCCCUCAGGAUUGUAGGUGAGCGGUGAGGGCAGCUGAGGAGCGGGAACGAUUCAGGGAGGGAAUUUUAGAAAUAUUUAUUUUUUUUAAUUAUUUUUAAUUUUAGGGCGAUUUUCUCACAAUUUAUAGGAGUUUUUUGGGGGGGACAUUUUAGGCAGGGGGGGGGGGGGGGGGGGGGGGGGGGGGGGGGGGGGGGGGGGGGGGGGGGGGGGGGGGGGGGGGGGGGGGGGGGGGGGGGGGGGGGGGGGGGGGGGGGGGGGGGGGGGGGGGGGGG